rnacentral:rRNA from 1 species
GAUGAACGCUGGCGGCGUGCCUAAUACAUGCAAGUCGAGCGAACAGACGAGGAGCUUGCUCCUUCGACGUUAGCGGCGGACGGGUGAGUAACACGUAGGUAACCUACCUAUAAGACUGGGAUAACUUCGGGAAACCGGAGCUAAUACCGGAUAAUAUUUCGAACCGCAUGGUUCGAUAGUGAAAGAUGGCUUUGCUAUCACUUAUAGAUGGACCUGCGCCGUAUUAGCUAGUUGGUAAGGUAACGGCUUACCAAGGCAACGAUACGUAGCCGACCUGAGAGGGUGAUCGGCCACACUGGAACUGAGACACGGUCCAGACUCCUACGGGAGGCAGCAGUAGGGAAUCUUCCGCAAUGGGCGAAAGCCUGACGGAGCAACGCCGCGUGAGUGAUGAAGGUCUUCGGAUCGUAAAACUCUGUUAUUAGGGAAGAACAAACGUGUAGGUAACUGUGCACGUCUUGACGGUACCUAAUCAGAAAGCCACGGCUAACUACGUG